AACACGCUCCUUAGAUCCACCUCUAGAGGGGCCCCCCUCUGGGCGUGGCCCCUCAGCAGCUUCGUGCUGCACCGUUGGAGGUGCUUGAGUCAUUGGCGUGUAAGAACAGUCCACCUGCCCCCCAGCUCAGCUGCAGAACUGGCAACCCAGUCACCAGACGGGGAGCUCCCAGUGCUGCCAAACUGGGGGGCGGACACA
ensembl:snoRNA small nucleolar RNA SNORA53